UACGUAGGGGGCAAGCGUUGUCCGAAUCAUUGGGCGUAAAGAGCGUGUAGGCGGUCCGGUAAGUCGGCUGUGAAAGUCCAGGGCUCAACCCUGGGAUGCCGGUCGAUACUGCCGGACUAGAGUUCGGAAGAGGCGAGUGGAAUUCCCGGUGUAGCGGUGAAAUGCGCAGAUAUCGGGAGGAACACCUAUGGCGAAGGCAGCUCGCUGGGACGUUACUGACGC
rnacentral:rRNA from 1 species